AAAGUGGAUCAAGCGGUCGCUUCAGCCUAAGGCUGAAGAGGAAAGUCCGGACUCCAGAGGACAGGGUGGCCGCUAACGGCGGCCCCGAGCGAUCGGGGGAAAGUGCCACAGAAAAGAUACCGCCCGCCACUGUCGUGGCGGGUAAGGGUGAAAAGGUGAGGUAAGAGCUCACCGAUCUGCCAGUAAUGGUAGGUGCCGGGCAAACCCCACCCGGAGCAAGACCAAAUAGGAGGGUUGGGUGGUCCGCCCUUAGCCCUCGGGUAAGGUCGCUGGACCCCGUGAGCAAUCACGGGGCUAGAUGAAUGAUCGCUGUAG
rnacentral:RNase_P_RNA from 1 species